rnacentral:rRNA from 1 species
CCUACGGGUGGCUGCAGUAGGGAAUAUUGCUCAAUGGGGGAAACCCUGAAGCAGCAACGCCGCGUGGAGGAUGAAGGUUUUCGGAUUGUAAACUCCUUUUGUUAGAGAAGAUAAUGACGGUAUCUAACGAAUAAGCACCGGCUAACUCAGUGCCAGCAGCCGCGGUAAUACGGAGGGUGCGAGCGUUACUCGGAAUCACGGGGCGUAAAGAGCGCGUAGGCGGGAUAGCAAGGCAGAUGUGAAAGCCUAUGGCUUAACGAUAGAACUGCAGUUGAAACUGGUAUUCUAGAGUAUGGGAGAGGUAGGUGGAAUGCGUGGUGUAGGGGUAAAAUGCGUAGAGAUCAAGAGGAAUACUGAUUGCGAAGGCGUCCUGCUAGAACAUAACUGACGCUGAUGCGCGAAAGCGUGGGGAGCAAACAGGAUUAGAUACCCUUGUAGUC